UCUGGCGAAUUGAGGUGGAAACCCCCUCGCGGGGUAUUCAUUACCAGUUCGUCGGCCUAUAGUCGCUAGACCGCAGUAGGCAUCGAGCGCAGAAAGGAUAGAACGCUGGCAAGAAUGCUCGCCGAAGCGGUGGAUAGUCGGCGGAAUAUUCCGUACCUGCUCGCAGGUUAUGUUUAUUCCAGUUCGAUCUUUGAAUCCGCUGGCGAGUUUAUAGCGUUCUGGCGUCAGUGGCGUCCGGGACGGUCGACCGUCCGACCCGUCUUGAAACACGGACCAAGGAGUCUAACGUACGCGCGAGCUACUGAGUGGAAAACUCAUAAGCGAAAUAAAAGUAAAAGCCGUUUCGGACGGCGCUGGGUACGAUCCCGCGUGGUAUUUAUUUACCCCGGGCGCAGUACCAUCCCAUCCUGACCGCUCGUCGGUAGGGUGGAGAUUGAGUGCGUACGUUGGGACCCGAAAGAUGGUGAACUAUGCCUGAGCAGAGCGAAGCCAGAGGAAACUCUGGUGGAGGUUCGUAGCGGUUCUGACGUGCAAAUCGAUCGUC
rnacentral:rRNA from 1 species